UACAAAAUUAAAUUCUAAAUUGAAAUAUUCCUGAAGUUUUAUUAACCUUGGGAUGUCAGAGAAUCUAAGGAUGUCCAAAAACUUUAUUUAUUUACACAGGAAAGAUGAACAAAUAAGAAAUUAUACUAAAAUUUUGUCUUUAAUUAUCUUUCCAUAGAUAUGUCUUUGAUGCAGGGUUGAAGAUUUUCAUGAGACUCUUAGAAAACUGAGGCAUCUUGGCCUAAUAGUAUUUCAGUUGUUAAAUUGUAUAUGCCAUAGAAAUGAAAAAUGCUCACUGAUAAUUAACGAUGGCUGGGUUAAAUCUUUCCUGCAGUUAAAAAUUUUAAUGCCUUUUUGGAAGUUUCUAUAAAUGUUAAAAUUACACAUUAUGUUGCUCUAGGGGAGGUGUGUGAAAGGAGGAGGAGUUCUAGGAAACAGGAAUGGAAACAGAUGAUGGUAUUUCACGGUGAUGAUGAAAGACACUUGUGCUGCCUGCUUCGUUCUGGCCAUAACAUGAAUUAAAUAAGUCUGGAGGGAGCCUUGCUCUGCAUUGGGUGAGAAGAAGCAAUACAAGCUUACAUACUUUCAGGGACCCCCGACGCUGUAACUGCUCUUAAAACCAUUUAACUUUAAACAAAAUGCUCCAGAGACCUAAUUUUUGUGAUCUUCACCAUGUGAGACCCACCACGGUUGUAUUUCAGACAUUUAUUGAGCACGUACUACACGCAAGGUAUUCUGCUGCGAGCUGAACGUGAAGCCGAGUCUAGCGUGGAUCUCUUUCUCACGGAGGUUAUAGCUUAAGCCGCAGUGUUCUUUUGUAAUUAUUGCAAACAAGAUGAUACGCUUAAGCUGCUGAUGUGUAUAGCACUGUAGGCCUGGAGAGAUCUGAUUUGAUGCCAGCAAAUGAGGAUUGCCAGGUGUUUUCCACAUAAAUAAGAACGCAACAGCCAACUUGUCUGAUGCGCACGGCAAGCCAGCAUCCUGGCUGGCUGUUGUUCAUCUUGAUUUGGAUCCCUGUCUCUUGUCACUUCGGCAGCAGAGGUAGGUGAGAGUUCUGUAGGCAUGAGUGGGAUUUACUUAAUCCUUCCAACGGAGCUGAACCGGGAGACAGAGCGCAUGCUCUCUUGCACUCUUCAAUCUAGUCUAGCUAUUCUGGAGGUUGAGUUUAUAAUAAAAUUUCCUUUCACUAGUCUCGAGGAAUAAAAUCAACACACUUCAACCCACUAAUUUCACUUAAUUUUUUUUUAAAAAUAAUUUCAUUUGAUUUUCAAACCUGAUGACUUCUUUUGCUUCAGAAUUUGUAAAUCUCAAGAAAAACAAAAUCAAUGUAUCGCUGAAAUUCACAGACAAAGUUAGCGAUAGAGUUGUUUCUCAGGAUCCAAAGGCAACCCCCUUUAGACCAUAUUGUCCUGCUUUAGAAGAAUUCUUCUGUUAAGUGAAAGGUUUUACACACACACACACACACACACACACACACACACACACACACACACACACACACCCCUUGACCUACACCCCUUGACUAUUUACAAUCAGCUGUUUGAUGAUUAGGUAUGUCUUGGCAUUAUAACAAAAUACUAUCAACUGAGUGACCUAUAAGCAAUAGACAUUUAUUUUGAGUAGUUCUGUAGGCUAGAACAUCUGCAACCAGGAGUACAUAAAUAUUUGUUGUCCAUUGAGGAUCUGCUCCAGAUUCAGGAAUUUCAUGCCCUUGUUCUUUGUUCAGGAACUUUAUAGGGUGUGUGUUCAUGUGCAUGCGUGUGUGUGUGUGUGUGUGUGUGUGUGUGUGUGUGUGUGUGUUGGGAGAUGAGAGAUUUGUCAGGGUCUCACCAGGGAGUUCUCGGUAAGAACGAUAAUUUUUCAGUUGUGUCUUAAUGUUGAGAAUGUAAACAUGGUGGUGUGUAUCACUCCGGGUUGUAAUGGGUUGACUGCAGUAAAGAUUUGUAAAGUCUAAAAUCCAAAUUAUAAGAACUUGAUCUUAUACACUAACCACUUCCCAAGCGUCCCACCAUUUAACACUACCACCUUGUGGGUUAGGACUGUAAUAUAUGAAGUUUUCAGGGGCACAAACCUGCAGCCUACAUAGCAGGAACUCAGAGAAGACUUUUUUUUCCCACUGAAAUUCCUAAUAGCACAUUAAGGGAGAUGAGUCAAUUUUGUUGGCCUUUGGCCUAGACUUCUUAGACUCCCAGGUGAGAGUGAAGCUAUUGAGACAGCCUAUGUUACCUGCUUCUCUUGGCUGAGUUCCCGCCUUUUUCCUGGCUGCCCAGUGACAAGGUUAUUCUUUCCCCUAUGGUUGUAAUGAGCCUUACCUAUGGGUUUCUAUUUCUUCAGAGGCAGGCUAUGUUAGUGAAAUGUCACUCAUUUCUGUGGUUAUGAUUACCAGGACUCUUGAUUUCAGUAAUAGGACUGAUUGUAAUAUAAAUAUAUGUAUACCACAAAUUCUAUUUAAAUUAUGACAGUAAAAUGGGGAUGUAUAUAUUUGUUCAUUCAACAACUAUUGAACAUUAUUAUGUAAAAGCAUUUGCUGUGCCCUGGACAUAUCAUACUGAAUAUAAUGAAAUCUAUAUCCUCUUCAAUUGAAAAUACAGAUAUUAUAAUGAUAUAGAUGUUUACUGAAGAACUCAUAAGUAAAUAAAAGUAGAUAGUAAAAUAA